rnacentral:rRNA from 1 species
ACGGAAGGCAGCAGUGGGGGAUAUUGCACAAUGGGCGAAAGCCUGAUGCAGCGACGCCGCGUGAGGGAAGAAGGUCUUCGGAUUGUAAACCUCUUUCAGCAGGGAAGAAGACAGUGACGGUACCUGCAGAAGAAGUCACGGCUAACUACGUGCCAGCAGCCGCGGUAAUACGUAGGUGGCGAGCGUUAUCCGGAAUUACUGGGUGUAAAGGGUGUGUAGGCGGAGAAGCAAGUCAGGCGUGAAAUUCAGAGGCUCAACCUCUGGACUGCGCUUGAAACUGUUUCCCUUGAGUGUUGGAGAGGUAAACGGAAUUCCUGGUGUAGUAGUGAAAUGCGUAGAUAUCAGGAGGAACACCGGUGGCGAAGGCGGUUUACUGGACAACAACUGACGCUGAGACACGAAAGCGUGGGGAGCAAACAAGAUUAGAUACCCUGGUA